rnacentral:lncRNA from 1 species
ACAUCGGGUACUUUUACUUAUUAGUAAUAAUUGCCAGGCAUCUUUAUGUAAUUCUCUCAUAUAUUCAAACCAACAAGAUGUCAGGAAUGGAAUGAAGCAGGCUAUCAUCAUUUUUUAAAAAAUCUUUUUAUGUAACUGCUUGCUUUGAAGGGCUCCUAAAUCUUUUGCAAACAACUCCUCUGACAUCUUGUAGGACAAAAGACAGUGAGGAGUGUUUUAACGGUGGGGAUACCAAGGCACAGGAAGUCUGAGCUGUCCCCCAAAGACUGACAAAGUGCCCCAGCCUUCGGCAAGGGCUGGGAUCCUACAACAGCCCUUGGGAACAGCACAAAGAAGAACAUCAACAGCAAUGUCUUGGGGAAGACAGAAGUUUAAGAUCCUGAACAAUAGAAGUGUAAACUUACUGUCCUAAAGAGAUGCCACUCAGGUGGAGACUGAGAGAAGCCAACAGUUCCUGGAUACCAGUGAGCUUUGCCUGACAGAUCUCAAAGAGCAGAAAAGUAUCACAGCCUGUUAGCCUCCUAAAGUGCCGGGUGGGACAGAGCAAGCCAAAGGUAAGAUAAUUUCCUCCCGGGGUUCAAAUAUUGGAGGGAGAAGACUGCCAGGGUUUGAAGCUGCUUCCAGCUUCC